GCCAGGCAUGGUGGCUCAUGCCUGUAAUCCCAGCAUUUUGGGAGGCCGAGGUGGGUGGAUCACCUGAGGUCAGGAGUUCGAGACCAGCCUGGCCAACAUGGUGAAACCCCAUCUCUA
rnacentral:SRP_RNA from 1 species